GAACUGCGAUAAGUAAUGUGAAUUGCAGAAUUCAGUGAAUCAUCGAGUCUUUGAACGCACAUUGCGCCCCCUGGCAUUCCGGGGGGCAUGCCUGUCCGAGCGUCAUUGCUGCCCUUCAAGCCCGGCUUGUGUGUUGGGUCGUCGUCCCCCCCGGGGGACGGGCCCGAAAGGCAGCGGCGGCACCGUGUCCGGUCCUCGAGCGUAUGGGGCUUUGUCACCCGCUCGAUUAGGGCCGGCCGGGCGCCAGCCGGCGUCUCCAACCUUAUUUUUCUCAGGUUGACCUCGGAUCAGGUAGAGAUACCCGCUGAACUUAAGC
rnacentral:misc_RNA from 1 species